rnacentral:rRNA from 1 species
GACGAACGCUGGCGGCGUGCUUAACACAUGCAAGUCGAACGGAAGGGCCCUGCUUGCAGGGUACUCGAGUGGCGAACGGGUGAGUAACACGUGGGUGAUCUGCCCUGCACUUCGGGAUAAGCCUGGGAAACUGGGUCUAAUACCGGAUAGGAGCCAUUUUUAGUGUGAUGGUUGGAAAGUUUUUUCGGUGUAGGAUGAGCUCGCGGCCUAUCAGCUUGUUGGUGGGGUAAUGGCCUACCAAGGCGGCGACGGGUAGCCGGCCUGAGAGGGUGGACGGCCACAUUGGGACUGAGAUACGGCCCAGACUCCUACGGGAGGCAGCAGUGGGGAAUAUUGCACAAUGGGCGCAAGCCUGAUGCAGCGACGCCGCGUGGGGGAUGACGGACUUCGGGUUGUAAACUCCUUUCGCUAGGGACGAAGCUUUUUGUGACGGUACCUAGAUAAGAAGCACCGGCUAACUACGUG